GUUGUAUUAUGAAGACAGUAGCUGAAACCCAUAUUGGAUGGCUACUGUUGGAACUGCUUGCAAC